AGAGUUUGAUCAUGGCUCAGGAUGAACGCUGGCGGCGUGCCUAAGACAUGCAAGUCGAGUGGGUUUAGACCACGGCGAACGGGUGAGUAAUGCGUGGGAACUUUCGUUAAGUUCAGGAUAUCCUCCCGAAAGGGAGAGCAAUACUGGAUGUGGAGGCAACUCUAAAGUCGCAAGACGCUUAACGUGAGGCCUGCGUGCCAUCAGCUAGUUGGUAGGGUAAAAGCCUACCAAGGCUAUGACGGCUAGGGGGCCCGAGAGGGUGAACCCCCACACUGGGACUGCGACACGGCCCAGACUCCUACGGGAGGCAGCAGUUUGGAAUUUUGGACAAUGGACGAAAGUCUGAUCCAGCGACGCCGCGUGCACGAAGAAGGUCUUCGGAUCGUAAAGUGCUUUUGCAGGGGACGAAUUUUUGACUGUACCCUGAGAAUAAGAGGUUGCUAACUCUGUGCCAGCAGCAGCGGUAAUACAGAGACCUCAAGCGUUAUCCGGAAUCAUUGGGCGUAAAGCGUACCGAUAGGUCGUUUAUAAAGUCUUGGGUAAAAGCCGGAAGCUCAACUUCCGCGUUUGCUUAAGAUACUUAUAGACUAGAGGGGCAAAGAGGUGCUUGGAACCAACGGUGUAGUAGUGAAAUGCGUUGAUAUCGUUGGGAACACCGAAAGCGAAGGCAGAGCACUGGGUGCCACCUGACACUGCUAGGACGAAAGCGUGGGGAGCGAAUGGGAUUAGAUACCCCAGUAGUCCACGCUGUAAACGAUGAAUACUAGGCAUACGCGAGUAUCGACCCUCGUAUGUGCCGUAGCUAACGCGUUAAGUAUUCCGCCUGGGGAGUACGGUCGCAAGACUAAAACUCAAAUGAAUUGACGG
rnacentral:rRNA from 1 species